CUUGAUGGAGCCCAGCAGCAGCGGGAUCUCCCGGUCCUGGCCGUAGGUGGCCAGCAGCGCCUGCGCCUC
rfam:Actinosynnema mirum DSM 43827, complete genome.